UUAACGAAAGAACGAACAGGAAAACCAAAAAGUUCUCAUUUUCUAAUUACAUUUCGAAAAGUUUUUUAAAAAAGUAUCACCAAACGAAAACAUCAUUAGUUUGCAAUAGAUUUCCAUCCGCUCAGCCAACAACGAGACGACUUUUUCUUCAGGACAGUUUCAUAGAUUCGAAAAACAUUCUGGACAAUUAAAACGAAAAAUUACUAUUCCUUGAUAAAGGCAAAAUAAACAUGCCGAAACGUCGGAUGUAGUAAAUAAACAUCGUUUUAUGAUUUUUUGAGACUGAAAUCGCCGAGAAACCUUUUCAACA